rnacentral:tRNA from 1 species
AUAAAAAUAAACUAAAUUUAAGUUAUUAGAUUCAUAAUCUAAAUAUAUACAUAAGUAUUUUUUGUA